GUUUGAUCCUGGCUCAGGACGAACGCUGGCGGCGUGCUUAACACAUGCAAGUCGAGCGGUAAGGCCCUUCGGGGUACACGAGCGGCGAACGGGUGAGUAACACGUGGGUGAUCUGCCCUGCACUUCGGGAUAAGCCUGGGAAACUGGGUCUAAUACCGGAUAUGACCAAAGGCUGCAUGGCUUUUGGUGGAAAGGUUUACUGGUGCAGGAUGGGCCCGCGGCCUAUCAGCUUGUUGGUGGGGUAAUGGCCUACCAAGGCGACGACGGGUAGCCGACCUGAGAGGGUGACCGGCCACACUGGGACUGAGACACGGCCCAGACUCCUACGGGAGGCAGCAGUGGGGAAUAUUGCACAAUGGGCGAAAGCCUGAUGCAGCGACGCCGCGUGAGGGAUGAAGGCCUUCGGGUUGUAAACCUCUUUCAGCAGGGACGAAGCGAAAGUGACGGUACCUGCAGAAGAAGCACCGGCUAACUACGUGCCAGCAGCCGCGGUAAUACGUAGGGUGCGAGCGUUGUCCGGAAUUACUGGGCGUAAAGAGUUCGUAGGCGGUUUGUCACGUCGUCUGUGAAAACCCACCGCUCAACGGUGGGCCUGCAGGCGAUACGGGCAGACUUGAGUACUGCAGGGGAGACUGGAAUUCCUGGUGUAGCGGUGAAAUGNGCAGAUAUCAGGAGGAACACCGGUGGCGAAGGCGGGUCUCUGGGCAGU
rnacentral:rRNA from 1 species